UAGGGAAUAUUGGUAAUGGGCGAAAGCCUGAACCAGCAACGCCGCGUGUGCGAUGAAGGCCUUCGGGUCGUAAAGCACUUUUCGAAGGGAUGAGGAAGGACAGUACCUUCGGAAUAAGCCUCGGCUAACUACGUGCCAGCAGCCGCGGUAAAACGUAGGAGGCAAGCGUUAUCCGGAUUUACUGGGCGUAAAGCGCGUGCAGGCGGUUUGGAAAGUUGGAUGUGAAAGCUCCCGGCUUAACUGGGAGAGGUCGUUCAAAACUACCAGACUAGAGGGCGAUAGAGGGAGGUGGAAUUCCGGGUGUAGUGGUGAAAUGCGUAGAUAUCCGGAGGAACACCAGUGGCGAAAGCGGCCUUCUGGAUCGUACCUGACGCUCAGACGCGAAAGCUAGGGUAGCAAACGGG
rnacentral:rRNA from 1 species